GUCUAAGGUCACACCAGCCUGCACACACCUGCUAUGGUCUGAUCUCAGAGGCUAAGCAUGCUCGUGGUUAGCAUUUGGAUGGGAAAGGUGGCUGGAGCCCCUUGGCCAUGCACA
rnacentral:rRNA from 1 species